CCUACGGGAGGCAGCAGUGGGGAAUAUUGGGCAAUGGGCGCAAGCCUGACCCAGCAACGCCGCGUGAAGGAAGAAGGCUUUCGGGUUGUAAACUUCUUUUCUCAGGGACGAAGAAAGUGACGGUACCUGAGGAAUAAGCCACGGCUAACUACGUGCCAGUAGCCGCGGUAAUACGUAGGUGGCAAGCGUUAUCCGGAUUUACUGGGUGUAAAGGGCGUGUAGGCGGGGAAGCCAGUCAGAUGUGAAAACCACGGGCUCAACCUGUGGCCUGCAUUUGAAACUGUUUUUCUUGAGUACUGGGGGGGCAGACGGGAUUCCUAGUGUAGCGGUGGAAUGCGUAGAUAUUAGGAGGGACACCAGGGGCGGAGGCGGGCUGCUGGACAGCAACUGACGCUGGGGCGCGAAAGCGUGGGGAGCAAACAGGAUUAGGUACCCCUGUAGUC
rnacentral:rRNA from 1 species